UACGGAGGGUGCAAGCGUUAUCCGGAUUCACUGGGUUUAAAGGGUGCGUAGGCGGGCAGUUAAGUCCGUGGUGAAAUCUCUGAGCUUAACUCAGAAACUGCCAUGGAUACUAUCUGUCUUGAAUAUUGUGGAGGUUAGCGGAAUAUGUCAUGUAGCGGUGAAAUGCUUAGAUAUGACAUAGAACACCAAUUGCGAAGGCAGCUUACUACACAACGAUUGACGCUGAGGCACGAAAGCGUGGGGAUCAAACAGG
rnacentral:rRNA from 1 species